rnacentral:rRNA from 1 species
CAUAGUACGGCGAGUGAAAUGGGAAAAGCCCAGCGCUGAAUCCAUCGAUCACUGGUCGCUUGGAAUUGUAGCGUAUAGGUGCGGCUGUCCGCUCGUUUCGUGCACCCAAAGUCCCCUUGAGCGGGGCCAUAGUCCAAAGAAGGUGCUAGACCUGUACGGGUGGCGAGACGAUCGGUUGGUCGCUCCUUGGAGUCGGGUUGCCUGGGAUCGCAGCCCAAAGUUGGUGGUAGACCUCAUCUAAGGCUAAAUAUGGCCACGAAACCGAUAGCAAACAAGUACCGUGAGGGAAAGUUGCAAAGAACUUUGAAGAGAGAGUUCAAGAGGGCGUGAAACCGCCGAGAUUGAAACGGAUAGAGUUGACGAAACUCGAUCGCAUUCAUCCGAUCCGCCUAGCGGUUCGGCGGUUGUUGACUUCCUCGAUGAGGGCAACGCCGUCGCUGGCUGUUGGGUGUUAGAUGGGUGUAUUUGCGGUCGGUAUGCGCCGAGAGCUUUGCGAACGCAUGUUGGCGUUGAUGUAGUGGACCACUCCCUCCGGGCGUGGAACCCUGCACUGACUGAGGCAUGUCGUUUGUAGGGUGUUGCUGGUUGACGUCUCCGCUAUGGUGCGUCGGCUUUGUCGGACUGUUGUGGCUACUGGGUGAUCGCAUGCGAGCGCCUGUGGUUUAUGAUCGUACGAUGAGGUGCAGACGCGCUUGAGACGUGCAUCUCGGUGUGAACGUUGACCACCUAUCCGACCCGUCUUGAAACACGGAUA